rnacentral:lncRNA from 10 species
AAGAAUCAGCCCCUGAGGUCUCCAGGAAGUACCUUGAUUUGAAAGAGCUGUGACCAACCUCAGUGGCAUGUCCAACUACCACGCUGCAGAAGUCUGUGAGGCCGUGGUCCUCAGCCCUUUGCACAGAUUAAAACCCCAAUCCCAGCCGCACCCCAGACCAAUCAAUCAGGAUCUCUGGAGAUGGGGCCCAGGCAUCUAUAUAUAUGUAUAUAUAUAUAUUUUUUUAAUUCCUCAGAUGAUUCCAAUGUACAGCCAAUGAUGAGCAGCUGCUGGGCUGAAGGGACUGGGGCCAUUUUAUACCAGUUGUAGGAUGUUACACAGAAAUGCCUGAAAAGCAAGGAGCAGCUAUCAGAAUGUUUGGUGACACAGCUCCUCCUGUCGUGGUUCCUUCGGCAUGGACUUCACAUUCAGCAGAUCCAUGAGGUGUUCCCUUUCGGAUGAGCUCCAAGGUCUUAAGAGAGCAUCUCUAGUCUGCGUGAGUCCGUCUGAACGACGGUCCUGAGCAAGAACCACCUAUAACCAUCUGCUCAAAAUAACUCAGGGGAAGUCAAAGCUUUCUAUGUGGAAGGUGACUGAAACCACAUACACAGACCACUGCAGCAUUCCUGACAUUAUGGAACUUGGAAAUGAUUCCAAACAUGGCCAUAGCUUGAGUAACAUGUUUUGCUAUGACAAGAACUUGGACUGUAGUCCUUCCCCCUCUCAAGAAUGUGACAUCACACCUUAUCAGAUCCUACGAGUGAGCUACUGACCUCAACCACUGAACUUCAAACUAUGUAAAAACCUAAGGGUUCGACAGACAC